AGUGAACGCUGGCGGCGUGCCUAAUACAUGCAAGUCGAACGGAGUGGCGCGCGGGUGUGUAAUGUAUAGCUCAUCUUCGCUACACUAGAGGACGACAGUUGGAAACGGCUGCUAAUACUCUAUAGUGUAGGAUGAGGGUGUAUUGUAUCAUCUAGUUGGUGAGGUAAGGGCUCACCAAGGUUAUGACGAAUAACUUGUGUGAGAGGAUGAUCAGUAGCACUGGAACUGAGACACCGUCCAGACUCCUACGGCAGGCAGCAGUAGGGUGUAUUGCUCAAUGCGCGAAACCCUGGAGCAGCUUCGCCGCGUGGAGGAUGACACGUUGCGAAGCGUAAACUCCUUUUAUUACGGAAGCGGUACCUAACGAAUAAGCACCGGCUAACUCCGUGCCAGCAGCCGCGGUAAUAC
rnacentral:rRNA from 1 species